rnacentral:rRNA from 1 species
AUUGAACGCUGGCGGCAGGCCUAACACAUGCAAGUCGAACGAGUGGCGGACGGGUGAGUAAUGUCUGGGAACCUGCCUGAUGGAGGGGGAUAACUACUGGAAACGGUAGCUACUACCGCCUACCCUCAGAUGUGCCCAGAGGGGCUUAGCUUGUUGGUGGGGUAACGGCUCACCAAGGCGACGAUCCCUAGCUGGUCUGAGAGGAUGACCAGCCAAUCUGGAACUGAGACACGGUCCAGACUCCUACGGGAGGCAGCAGUGGGGAAUAUUGCACAAUGGGGGAAAGCCUGAUGCAGCCAUGCCGCGUGUAUGAAGAAGGCCUUCGGGUUGUAAAGUACUUUCAGCGGGGAGGCGUUACCCGCAGAAGAAGCACCGGCUAACUCCGUGCCAGCAGCCGCGGUAAUAC